UUUAUGGAGAGUUUGAUCCUGGCUCAGGAUGAACGCUGGCGGCGUGCCUAAUACAUGCAAGUCGAGCGAACGGACGAGAAGCUUGCUUCUCUGAUGUUAGCGGCGGACGGGUGAGUAACACGUGGAUAACCUACCUAUAAGACUGGGAUAACUUCGGGAAACCGGAGCUAAUACCGGAUAAUAUUUUGAACCGCAUGGUUCAAAAGUGAAAGACGGUCUUGCUGUCACUUAUAGAUGGAUCCGCGCUGCAUUAGCUAGUUGGUAAGGUAACGGCUUACCAAGGCAACGAUGCAUAGCCGACCUGAGAGGGUGAUCGGCCACACUGGAACUGAGACACGGUCCAGACUCCUACGGGAGGCAGCAGUAGGGAAUCUUCCGCAAUGGGCGAAAGCCUGACGGAGCAACGCCGCGUGAGUGAUGAAGGUCUUCGGAUCGUAAAACUCUGUUAUUAGGGAAGAACAUAUGUGUAAGUAACUGUGCACAUCUUGACGGUACCUAAUCAGAAAGCCACGGCUAACUACGUGCCAGCAGCCGCGGUAAUACGUAGGUGGCAAGCGUUAUCCGGAAUUAUUGGGCGUAAAGCGCGCGUAGGCGGUUUUUUAAGUCUGAUGUGAAAGCCCACGGCUCAACCGUGGAGGGUCAUUGGAAACUGGAAAACUUGAGUGCAGAAGAGGAAAGUGGAAUUCCAUGUGUAGCGGUGAAAUGCGCAGAGAUAUGGAGGAACACCAGUGGCGAAGGCGACUUUCUGGUCUGUAACUGACGCUGAUGUGCGAAAGCGUGGGGAUCAAACAGGAUUAGAUACCCUGGUAGUCCACGCCGUAAACGAUGAGUGCUAAGUGUUAGGGGGUUUCCGCCCCUUAGUGCUGCAGCUAACGCAUUAAGCACUCCGCCUGGGGAGUACGACCGCAAGGUUGAAACUCAAAGGAAUUGACGGGGACCCGCACAAGCGGUGGAGCAUGUGGUUUAAUUCGAAGCAACGCGAAGAACCUUACCAAAUCUUGACAUCCUUUGACAACUCUAGAGAUAGAGCCUUCCCCUUCGGGGGACAAAGUGACAGGUGGUGCAUGGUUGUCGUCAGCUCGUGUCGUGAGAUGUUGGGUUAAGUCCCGCAACGAGCGCAACCCUUAAGCUUAGUUGCCAUCAUUAAGUUGGGCACUCUAAGUUGACUGCCGGUGACAAACCGGAGGAAGGUGGGGAUGACGUCAAAUCAUCAUGCCCCUUAUGAUUUGGGCUACACACGUGCUACAAUGGACAAUACAAAGGGCAGCGAAACCGCGAGGUCAAGCAAAUCCCAUAAAGUUGUUCUCAGUUCGGAUUGUAGUCUGCAACUCGACUACAUGAAGCUGGAAUCGCUAGUAAUCGUAGAUCAGC
rnacentral:rRNA from 1 species